AUUGAACGCUAGCGGGAUGCUUUACACAUGCAAGUCGAACGAGUGGCGGACGUGCGAGUAAUUUAUGGGAACGUGCCCAGCAUCGGGGGAUAACUACUUGAAAGAGUGGCUCAUACCGCAUACUCUUGGAGCGGCCGAGAUCGGAUUAGCUUGUUGGGGGGGUAAAGGCUCACCAAGGCAACGAACCGUAGCUGGUUUGAGAGGACGACCAGCGAGCCGGGGACUGAGAAACGGCCCAGAAUCCUACGGGAGGCAGAAGUGGGGAAUUUUGGACAAUGAGGGAAACCCUGAUCCAGCCAUCCCGCGUGUAUGAGAAGGCCUUCGGGUUGUAAAGUACUUUUGGAGGGGGAGCGGUAUCUGCAGAAUAAGCGCCGGCUAACUACGUGCCAGCAGCCGCGGUAAUUC
rnacentral:rRNA from 1 species